GACGGAGGGGGCUAGCGUUGUUCGGAAUUACUGGGCGUAAAGCGCACGUAGGCGGCCUUUCAAGUCAGAUGUGAAAGCCCCGGGCUUAACCCGGGAAUUGCAUUUGAUACUGUUGGGCUUGAGACCGGGAGAGGAUAGCGGAAUUCCCAGUGUAGAGGUGAAAUUCGUAGAUAUUGGGAAGAACACCAGUGGCGAAGGCGGCUAUCUGGACCGGUACUGACGCUGAGGUGCGAAAGCGUGGGGAGAAAACAGG
rnacentral:rRNA from 1 species